UACGUAGGGUGCGAGCGUUAAUCGGAAUUACUGGGCGUAAAGCGUGCGCAGGCGGUUGGUUAAGUCUGAUGUGAAAGCCCCGGGCUCAACCUGGGAAUGGCAUUGGAAACUGGCUGGCUAGAGUGUGGCAGAGGGGGGUGGAACUCCGCGUGUAGCAGUGAAAUGCGUAGAGAUGCGGAAGAACACCGAUGGCGAAGGCAGCCCCCUGGGCUGACACUGACGCUCAGGCACGAAAGCGUGGGGAGCAAACAGG
rnacentral:rRNA from 1 species